rnacentral:lncRNA from 1 species
GCCGAGGCUACGAAUCCCUCCCUUGGAGCUCUCCAUCAGCUGGGACUGGGCCAUCUCCCUAUGAGAAUAUACGUACAUAUGGCCUCCCAGACCCCAGGAGCCUGCAGCCUGCAUUUCCAAGAGGCCACUGCAGAGACUUCCACAGCACCUCUGUUUGUCUAAUGACAUGGGCACCAGAUUCCACACUUAUUUCACAUUCAGCAGUACAGCUCUGCACACAGAAAGGUAAGCAGUGCAGGCUUGAUAAGCUUGCCUUUUGAACAAAUAAUUUGUCAGUCUGUGUUGGGAACUGGGAUGUUACUAGUUCUGUGAAGCACUUUUAGUGCUGUG